AGUGAACGCUGGCGGUAGGCCUAACACAUGCAAGUCGAACGGCAGCACAGUAAGAGCUUGCUCUUACGGGUGGCGAGUGGCGGACGGGUGAGGCAUACAUCGGAAUCUACUUUUUCGUGGGGGAUAACGUAGGGAAACUUACGCUAAUACCUCAUACGACCUACGGGUGAAAGCAGGGGAUCUUCGGACCUUGCGCUCUUGAAUAAGCCGAUGUCGGAUUAGCUAGUUGGCGGGGUAAAGGCCCACCAAGGCGACGAUCCGUAGCUGGUCUGAGAGGAUGAUCGGCCACACUGGAACUGAGACACGGUCAAGACUCCUACGGGAGGCAGCAGUGGGGAAUAUUGGAAAAUGGGGGCAAGCCUGAUCCAGACAUACCGCGUGGGUGAAGAAGGCCUUCGGGUUGUAAAGCCCUUUUGUUGGGAAAGAAAAGCAGCAGGUUAAUACCCCGCUGUUCUGACGGUACCCAAAGAAUAAGCACCGGCUAACUUCGUG
rnacentral:rRNA from 1 species